CCUUCUUCCCCCGAACUUCGGCUUCGGUCAGGAGUCCGGUUCGGAGCUGCCGCUGCUCUCAUUUUUAGUUUCUAUUGAAACCGGCUCCGCUUCGGUUCCGACCCGGACAGUCUCAGGCUCGUGCGUGGUUCUCGCGCACUCCCGGACUGGUGCCGAACUGAACUCGCGCUCUAAUCUCCAUGAAAAAUCCUAAAUUUCUAAUAAUCUGAGAUUAUCUCCGCAUCGAUCCGAAAAUAAUUUGAUUUUAAGAUCAAAUCAUUUAUUUUUAUUUAUUUUAAAAAGUGAAAAAGUUUCAGAUUUUCUUCAUCAGCUGAUGGUUUCUCUCAAAGAUGAAGGCGGGGGGAGGGGGGUCUGCUGUUCAUCAGCCUGAUGGUUUUGGUCCCGGACCAGCCCAGUGUCCCCAUCGAUCCGCCCCGAUAAUCAGAUUACAGGCAAUCAGGUCAGAUUGAGGACUCUGCAGAGAUCAGCACAAACCCAGACAGCAGUCUGUCUGUGCUCCUCACCUUCAUCAUCAUCGUCGUUAUGACUGUCAUCUUCAUCUCGAUUAUCUUCAUCACCAUCAUCUUCAUCACCAUCAUCUUCAUCACCAUCAUCAGCAGGUCACCUGCGAAUAUUUGUCUGAAGCAAAAAGAAAAACAAGAAAGCAAAACACUUACAAAGACUCCAAAACAUGGAGAGAGAGUUUUUCCUCCAGAACUUCCAGAACAUUCUGGUGUAUUUCUGCAGAACCUCUUCAGGAUUCAGGAACCAAGGAAACAUCCUUCUUUAUUUGGUUUUUACUGAAGCUGUUGCCGUGGUAACUCGUGAUGAUGGACCUGCCGGUUUUGUCGACCAGCUGAUGAGAACGAUUGUUUGAGUCCUGUGUGGCGCUGUUGGGAGGGGGCGGGAUCUCUGUGUCAGCGGUGAAUCACACGUCAGGCGGCGCGCUCAGGACGGUAAACGGCCCUCCUGGUAUCGAGCGGCGCCGUGAUGGAUGGGCCGGUCGGGUCUCGGUGGUUCUGAUGUCCCUCCAGGGACCCGCUCCCGCUGUCAGAGCGUCCUCCAUGACCCCCCAGCUGGUUUCCUGCUCAGACACGGCAGGAAUGCAAACCCCUCCAGGGAUGCUGGGAAAUCCGUCUGGCCACGCCCACAGACGCUCAGCUGCAGGUCCUGUGGUGCAGCGGUCACUCUGACAGAUGAAGUCUGGAUUGAUGUAUUAUUAAAUGUGAAUAACAGAAUUUAGCUUCUUUGGAAACAUUUUGACAGAUUUCUAUGGAUAUGGGGCCAAUAUUAUUUAAACCCAAAUAAAACCUUUAGAUAAAAAUAUUGAAU